CCUUGGGGAUGGGGCUUGCAGGCGAUGGGGUGGAGCCAGUGGGGCGGGGCUGCAGGCAAGCUGAGCCUUGGGGGCGGGACUUGCAGCGAGAGGAGGGGCCUUGUGGGGGCAGGGCUGGCAGAAGAGGGUGGGGCUUGGUGAUGGACCGGGCUGUUGGAGUGAGGGUAGUGGCCUGGUCGGGGGCUGCCGGAAGCUGGGCCAGGUGUACAAUGGUAAUCCUCUCUGGACUUCGUCAUGUGGCUCAGGCUGUGCCUAGCAGGGAGGCCAGCCCGAUCGAGCUGCCGUCUGCACCCUGAGAGUGAGGGCUCCUUCCCCCAGCGCGGGUUAAAGUAGGGAGGCCGGUCCCCAUCGAGGGUGGGGUCUCCACCCUUCCAUCCUGACAGCGAGGGCUCCUUUCCCCAGCGCGGGUUAAAGCACCGUGUGUCCACCUGUGCAGUGGCUGGUCCAAAUGUGCCCUGGAGGGCAGAAACCCUGGGUCCUGCCGCUGGUCCGGGGCGUCUGCUUCCCCUUCCUGCAGUUCCUGGGAGGGUCUGUGUGUCCAGGGGGCUCUGAUCCCUGCCUCAGGACCACGGGUGAGGGGUCAAGAUCGCCCACUUUGGAGCUGGCCGGGAUCUUGGUUCUUUGGAUCCUCGCUGUGUGGCUCUGGAGCAGUUCUGUCCUCAGGAGAGGGAUCCUCACAGCCGCCUCUUGGACCCUAAGGAGAAUUAAUAGGACGACCCCCGGGUAGCUGCUCGUGGCCCUGUGCGGAGCCAGUCCUGUGUCUCCACCAGUUCCUUCCCUCUGUGCUCCCCCACACUGUCACAUCGCCAGCCUUUAUUUCCUUUUCCUUGGACCCAGGCAGCGAAUGCCCAGCUGGCCUUGGCAGCCCCUUCUCUAAUCUAUCCUCAAAUCACUUCCUGAUGGACAGCACUGACCGGCCAUUGGCGUGACCAAAACCCCACAAAAUAGAACCCAACUUUCCUAUUAAGCCGUGCAGAGCUGUCCCAGCCCUACUUCCCACAGGCUGUCCUCAUUCACCAUGGGAUCCGUGGUUCUCACCUGGGGCUGGGGGUGCCCCUGGCAUCCAGUGGGGAGUGUCAGGGAUGUCCCUCCAGGCCCAGUACAGUCUCCCAGCCGGUGGCCAGCAGACAGCAGCACCCAGCCUGAUGUCCCUGUGGCUUCCGGUUCCCCGAGGCCAACUGUGCUUUGCUGCCUCUUGGUCCUGUCAGACGGCUGCCCUCUCUCCACCUUCGCUGGUUAGCAGUGUUCCAUCCAUUAGAGCUCAAAGCACUGCCUCCCGGCAAUGCAGCCCCUUCUCCUGGCCUGCCCUCUGCCUGUGCCCCGCCGUCUGCGCCAUGUCUUCGCGGGCCCAUCAGAGCGAGGCUCCCAAAGAAACGGAGCGGUUCCUGUUUGUGUCUCUGUCCCACCUUCUCUGGACCUGGCACCGUGCCCUUUGCCGACAGAGGUCUUGGGUUGAUUGCAGUGGCUCCUCACCUGUGAGUCGUCAGAAAGUUUCACGCAGUUUUCCAGGGCGGCCUUUGCAUUUACUGGAACUAUUAAGAGCUCCUUCCUGCUUCCCGUGAUUGACACGCAGUGCACGUGAGGCCGUGCGUGGCUUAGCGUCUUCUGAGGGUUUACAGGGCACUUUCUGUUCUUCCCCACGCCGGCUCUGCUGUGCCGAGUAUUCGCUGCGGGCAACGGUCACACUGUCUGGCACAGGCCACCGGGCAGACUUCACGUAGUGGAGCCUGCAGAAUGGCAGAGCCCGGCCUCCUCGCCGCCCUUCACAGGGAGCAGAAAGCGCAAGCCUGUGAUCAGAGCUGUGCUAGCCCAGAAAGCCUCCGAACAGGUUGAAUUGAGGAAUCGGCUCCUACCAACUGCCCAUGUUUAGGAUGUGUUUGAGUGUUUGUGAUUUUUCCUGCACUGAAGCUACUGGGCUGGCUCUGAGUCACCGUCACGGGACUUCACUUGCCCCCAACGGGAAGCGGCGGGGGUGGAGGGCCGCACAGAGGCUUGCCGCCGUGAUAAUGAAGGGCUUGUCGCCUCUUGGGACAGCGAGUUCAAGCUCUUUGUAAUUGUCAGCGUAAAGAGUGACCCGCUGAGGACACGGCUAUAAUUCAGGGUGGCAUGGUUGAUUGUCAUCGUUGAUAUCAGGUGCCUGCCUCUAAAAUGACGGUACCCAUAGUGCGGCUCCAGGAGGGCAGCUCCUGCCAAACACACGUGCUCCUGGGCCCCUGCAACCAAGCUCGUGCUGCCAGCCACGCCUGCAGCUGUGGGUGCAGCGGGAUCUUCAUGGCACUGAGCGCCUCCGUCCUUUGCUUGUGAGGCCCAGCCCUCCGUCCCACCUGGUCCCCAGUGCGGCUCCUCCCUGGGUUCUCCCAGCCCCGUGCAGACCUCCGUCUUCACAGCUUCCCUAGUUUUCUCGUGGGCGCCCCAGGUGGGUGCCUGGGCAAGGUUCUUGUGUUAGUCGAGUUCUCUCCAGCCUUCCCUGGCUUGUGGCAACAGCAGGUCCCUUCAGAUGAGUCAGCCAGCUGUGUGCCUGCAUGUUCAGGAUACCUAUUAGGGGCCUUUCUCAGGUCAGAGCAAGACGGACUCUCACCUCCUCCGUGGAACUUUGGAGCCCGCCCUGGAGAGACUCCAGCCACGUCCAGAGGGGCCGCCCAGGUCCCCGCUGUCUGGUGGGAGUGACUUCUGAGCCACUCGAGGCCCCACUUUGUGUUCCUGCACCCCACAAAGCCACUUAAAGCGCCAUGUUCUGAUGCCGUGUGCCUCUGGAGUGUGGCACACAAGCCUGGACGGGGAUCUGAGCGGUCGCUGCCUUCCUCAGGCUGCGCUUGUGUUUUGGGUCCCCUGGAGCACUCGUGGCUGUGAUUCUCACCGCUGUCUGGGCUCCCCUAGACAGUCUCACCCGCAGCCUGAGGGCCACAUCGGCAGCCACUGAGGAGCCGGCAGGUCCGGCGUUGGUCUCACUCAGUCCUUCUCGACUUUGGUGACAGAGGAGACAGCAAAGCUUCAGCUGGGAGCCCCAGGCCUUCUCUGCUUGGGGCCUUGGAACUGAGAUAGCACAGAUCCUGCCAUCCACAUGCUGGGGGCCCCGCUGUGCCGCUCCCUCCUCUGGUCAGGGGCCGCGCCCUUGGGUUGGGCAGCUCCGGGUCCUCGCACUCAGGGGCUCAGGGUGGGUGUUGGAUGCAGAGAGGAGAAGGGCGGCGGUUUGAGCCCAACUGUGUUGGUUUCAUCUUCUGCCUUUUGUCCCUAAGUACCUUUGCAAAGUUUUCCAAAUGAAAACUCAGAAGGUAAUUUUAAUGACUGGAAUCUGUGAAUUCCAUGGAAGCCAAGUCUGUCCACCUCUUUCAGCCACCUCACUUCUCCCCAUUGGGGCUGAUUUUGGCAGCAUUCAUAGGGGCAGGGACGCAAGGGGUGGUGGCCAGCCCUCAACCCUGCAUUCCUCCCCUCCUCCCCUCAGCACCACAGCAUUUCGGUGUCAUCCCCUUCCCUGCACGCGUCCUCAUGAAAACCAAGUGUGGCUGGAGGGAGACGCCUGAGCCCGCUCCCGUGACCUUCCCGGCCAGCUCGGCUGCAGCGGCCCCUCGGCAGGCAUCUGUCUGGUGCUGCCUCCGUGCUCCUCCCGUCACCUGACGCUCGUGCUCCUGAAUCUUCACGCGUGUGCUCCGUGCAGCCACGUCACAGGCUCCCUGGAAAUGGAGACAGUGUCUCACGCCGGUCAGAAUGCUCUUCUCUGUCCACUGAAUAGUCCAACACGGAAUCAUUCCUCUAUUAUUAUUUAUGCUUUGUUAUGUAGAACUGGAAUGAAGAAAAAGUGAAUUUAGACAUUACAGCCCUCAGGUUGAAGCUGGGUAAUUGCAUUAGGGAAUUAAAUGAGAGCAUUUGAGCUUCUUGAGUCCUAAUUCUACAUCUUCGUAUCCCCAUUACCCCCUACCCAGUGUCUAACACAGCUCUUGGUCUAGGAUUUUCUUGAUAAAUGCUUAUUGAAUUGAACUGGACUGAGUUUAACAUUCCCACCCAGAGUUAGAAGCCAGUCCCUGAGCAAAUUGCAUUGAGAACGUGAGUUUGACGUUACUGUGGUAAGGGGUAUCCUACACAACAUAAUUCCUAGUCAAUAUCAGGUAUUUAGUCAAAUAGACUUAAGUAUAGAGAGGCAUUGGCCCAUCUGGCAAAAGGGCAAGGCACGGUGCUUUAGAUCCAGGUCCACAAUAUCAACUAUGAAAAUAAAAUGUUGUCAACUCCAAUUACA